rnacentral:ncRNA from 1 species
GCUGUCGUCAGCUCGUGCCGUAAGGUGUUGGGUUAAGUCUCGCAACGAGCGCAACCCUCGUGUUUAGUUGCCACUAUGAGUUUGGAACCCUGAACAGACCGCCGGUGUUAAGCCGGAGGAAGGAGAGGAUGAGGCCAAGGUGUCAUGCCCCUUAUGCCCUGGGCGACACACGUGCUACAAUGGGCGGGACAAAGGGUCGCGAUCUCGCGAGGGUGAGCUAACUCCAAAAACCCGUCCUCAGUUCGGAUUGCAGGCUGCAACUCGCCUGCAUGAAGCAGGA